rnacentral:rRNA from 1 species
UACGAAGGGGGCUAGCGUUGUUCGGAAUUACUGGGCGUAAAGCGCGCGCAGGCGGUCUUCCAAGUCAGUGGUGAAAGCCCGGAGCUCAACUCCGGAACUGCCAUUGAAACUGUAAGACUUGAGGAUGAGAGGUGAGUGGAAUUCCCAGUGUAGAGGUGAAAUUCGUAGAUAUUGGGAAGAACACCGGUGGCGAAGGCGGCUCACUGGCUCAUUUCUGACGCUCAGGCGCGACAGCGUGGGGAGCAAACAGG